CCUUCCCGCCCGUGUUGUCAAUGACACCGCUGCAAGGAGGAAACAAAGUGUCUGAGGGGAGAAACGCCACAAAAGCCUUCAAAAAACCCCUUCUACAGUGCAAGAGCACAAUGUCUUUCCUUGGAGAUCUCCCUGAAGAAGUUUCCUGCUAGGCUGCUGAAGCUGAAAGUGGCAGAGGUUUCUCAGAAGCCACUGAACUGAAUCUGGGGGAUAUGAAAAGUGGCUCAACACAGUCACUGUGUCUUUCUGAAAAACGAUGGGCAGUGCAGUGGGGGUGACCCCCCAGGCUGUAAAAGUCAGAUCAGCAAGAGCAGCCUCAUUUCCAUGCAGCCUCUUUGUUCCUGUGCUUCAUGUCCUAAAGAUUCUUCAACCAAGCCCAGGAGGACAAAAUUUUCAAGUGUUGAAGAUGCACUGCAGAAGAGGCCUCAGUCACUGAAAAAUGAGCCCAAAGAGGAAAGGCAGGCCAAGGGAACCCAGCUAAGUCCUGCUGGAGAGGCAGAGAAGAUGGCGAGAGAGAUGAGGGUGAGCUGGCCGCAGAAGGAGGGAAUGGGCUCUGUUCUCUGCUGGCAGGGCUCCUGCAGAGGAUGUGGUGGCAACCCUCAGCACUAAAUGUAGAGCUGCCCCAGGACAGACUUAGGUGCAGAAUGUUUGCAGAGCCCAGAGCAAAUACUUGGGUAGCUGGCCCAUGAGUGCCCUGCUGCCAGGACUGCCCAAACCUGGCAGCUCCCGGUGUUUGCAGGGGGCAGCUACGCCCACACAGGCUGCAGUCACAGCUGGCCAGCACAGCCACCCCACAGGCGCCUUUGGAGCCUACAGAAUUUCAGUAGAUCCUGACUUGUCCGUGGGCCACAGGGCUGGAAGACAAGUUCAUCAGUUCACGCUCCCGUUGUAUCUGAACAAGCCCCUUCACAUCCCUCUUUUCGCAGCAGCUUGCUUCCCACCGGGCAUCACCCCGAGUCAGCACAAAGCAGUUCCACUCCUGCCCCGCUCACAGCGCUGCCCGCAGCCCCUGCGCUGGGGCUUAGAGCUUCACAAGGGCGGUGCAGGCUCUGGCAAGACAGACAGGCAGAGUUUAAUUUACUGACAGAGAUACAAUCUAAACAGCCACAGAUCUGGGCAUUUCUGCGCCUUUCCGAGCCUCUUGUGUGGCAGCGGGAAGCUGCGCUGCUUGUGCAACAUUUACCCAGGUUUUCCAAGAGGGAAAUGUGCAGCAAAUAAAGGAACUGGGAUGCAAAAGAGUGGCAGCUGCUUUAGGACUGUUAGAGAGGCUCUUUUACGGGCGAAUGCACCGUCAAUUUGUAGUAAGACAUUGUUUUCUAAACAUAGCAUGAAAACUGUUAUCUUGCCUGGCUGGUCAUUAGAAGAGAGAUAAUUAUAGUCUGUGUGCCACAGCCGGGCCCAGAACAGGGGCUGCAUUGUCCCAGGGCCCAGCUGAGCUCCAGCACAGGCUCCCCAGGCAGCGCUGGGACAAGGGGGCUCCUUGUGCCCCGGCAAGUUCAAAAGAGGAAUUGAAGUGCUCUAAGUAGGUGUUAAGCACCUAUUUCUCUCUCCGACUCUGGACUUAAAAAUCUACUCCACAAGGGAAAAAUGUGGAGCGCAGAUCUUCCGACUACUGUAGCUGCAUCCUCCCUGCUUUCUGUACAAUACUGCCAUGAUUAUUAUUUUUCUUUUAUUAAAAGAAGAAAUAAACCCCCAAACCAUCA